rnacentral:tRNA from 1 species
GGCAGGUUAUCCAAGCGGCCAAAGGAUGGCGACUGUAAAUCGUCCGGCAUACGCCUUCGUGGGUUCGAUUCCCACCCCUGCCA